AAAACUUCUCUUUUUUUGGUAGAAACACAGGUUAACGGCGCAAUCUUUGGCAGUGGGGCACUAUCCGUGCGUCGAUUGAGGCGCGACAUGGGGCCGUGUUGCUUGCUACGGCGCAAGGGUUUCCCAGGAAACCCUAGGUCUCCUGAAACUAUUUGGGCAUCGGGCCAAACACCGUUAUUGGGCCAUAGGGUCUAACUUGGGUCUGGUACGGGUUAUUGGGCUUAAGUCUUAGUGGUUUUGGGUUAGUUUGAAUUUGCAUUUUAAAUGUAACUGGGUAAUGGAUUGUGAUUGUGCCUCGGGUGUACAAGGGGGUAUAGGGUUUAGGUAUUUGGGUCAAUAAACUGUAAUUGGGCUAAAUGUAAUCUGGAUUUGUAAAUGGACUGUUUAAAGGUCCUUAUUUAAUGGACUAUUUUUUUGUUUUAGUUUCGGCAAA